rnacentral:misc_RNA from 1 species
AAAGUCGUAACAAGGUUUCCGUAGGUGAACCUGCGGAAGGAUCAUUGGUGUAAAGCUUCAACUUUCACCUCCUUUUAACCUCUUGUGUGAACCUUUUAAUUUGGCAUGUGCCUGGCAAAGUCGUUUAGGUGCAGGCUCUGGUCUGCUAACAACCUAGCGAGGUCGCCUAGGCCGUCUCUUCGGAGGCGGUAGCCUUGUAGCCUUAAUGACCUGCUCGCAAGAGCGGAUACAUACUGUACAAGCGCAGGCAUGCCGUAGCUUUAACGCUAAAACUUUAAACUUUACAUUCAGUUUCUGAGGGCUUUUAUUUUAGUACAACCUUUAACAAUGGAUCUCUUGGCUCCU